GAUGAACGCUGGCGGCGUGCCUAAUACAUGCAAGUUGAGCGAACAGACGAGGAGCUUGCUCCUCUGACGUUAGCGGCGGACGGGUGAGUAACACGUGGAUAACCUACCUAUAAGACUGGGAUAACUUCGGGAAACCGGAGCUAAUACCGGAUAAUAUAUUGAACCGCAUGGUUCAAUAGUGAAAGACGGUUUUGCUGUCACUUAUAGAUGGAUCCGCGCCGCAUUAGCUAGUUGGUAAGGUAACGGCUUACCAAGGCGACGAUGCGUAGCCGACCUGAGAGGGUGAUCGGCCACACUGGAACUGAGACACGGUCCAGACUCCUACGGGAGGCAGCAGUAGGGAAUCUUCCGCAAUGGGCGAAAGCUUGACGGAGCAACGCCGCGUGAGUGAUGAAGGUCUUCGGAUCGUAAAACUCUGUUAUUAGGGAAGAACAAAUGUGUAAGUAACUAUGCACGUCUUGACGGUACCUAAUCAGAAAGCCACGGCUAACUACGUG
rnacentral:rRNA from 1 species